rnacentral:rRNA from 1 species
UACGUAGGGUGCGAGCGUUAAUCGGAAUUACUGGGCGUAAAGCGUGCGCAGGCGGUUCUCCAAGUCCGUUGUGAAAGCCCCGGGCUCAACCUGGGAAUGGCAGUGGAAACUAGGGGACUUGAAUCUGGCAGAGGGGGGUGGAAUUCCACGGUGUAGCAGUGAAAUGCGUAGAGAUGUGGAGGAACACGAUGGCGAAGGCAGCCCCCUGGGCUGAGAUUGACGCUCAGGCACGAAAGCGUGGGGAGCAA